AGCGAACGUUUGCGGCGGGCCUAACACAUGCAAGUCGAACGGGCAGGGGCAACCCUGUCAGUGGCGCACGGGUGCGUAACACGUGGGUAAUCAACCCUUUGGACUGGGACAACCCGGGGAAACUCGGGCUAAUACCGGAUGUGGCGUGGCGGUCCUCGGACUGCUCCGCGAAAGCUCCGCAAGGGGCACCAGAGGACGAGCCCGCGUCCCAUCAGCUAGUUGGUGAGGUAAUGGCUCACCAAGGCGAAGACGGGUAGCUGGUCUGAGAGGAUGAUCAGCCACACUGGAACUGAGACACGGUCCAGACUCCUACGGGAGGCAGCAGUGGGGAAUAUUGCGCAAUGGGCGAAAGCCUGACGCAGCCACGCCGCGUGUGCGAUGAAGGUCUUCGGAUCGUAAAGCACUGUGGGGGGAGAAGAAACAAGCCGGUGAAGAGCCGGCCCUGACGGUAUCCCCUUAGCAAGCACCGGCUAACUCCGUGCCAGCAGCCGCGGUAAAGUGUG
rnacentral:rRNA from 1 species